UGACCCCUAGGUCUCCGAAUGGGGAAACCCGUCUGUGGAAGACACAGACAUCAUAAAGUAAAUACAUAGCUUUAUGAAGUAAGACCCUGCGAACUGAAACAUCUAAGUAGUAGGAGGAAAAGAAAGAAAACUCGAUUUUCCAAGUAGCGGCGAGCGAACAGAAACCAGCCCAACCCAGUAAGAAAUAUAUUAUCUAGUUAAAUCAUUUGGGAAGAUGAACCAAAGAAAGUGACAGUCUUGUAAACAAAAGAAAAUAUAUUGUGGGGGCAAGUAGCAGUGAACACGAGAAAUUUGCUGUGAAGAUAGGGGGACCAUCCCCUAAGGCUAAAUACUAACAUGUGACCGAUAGCGAACAAGUACCGUGAGGGAAAGGUGAAAAGAACCCCGAAAGGGGAGUGAAAUAGAACCUGAAACCUUGAGCCUACAAGCAGACAGAGGGCAACAGCCUGAUGUCGUACCUUUUGUAGAAUGGGCCAGCGAGUUAUCAUAUAUAGCAAGGUUAAAUCUUUAAGAGAUGAAGCCAAAGCGAAAGCGAGUCUUAAUAGGGCGAAAGUUAGAUAUGAUAGACCCGAAACCGGGUGAUCUAUCCAUGGUCAGAGUGAAGGUGAAGUAAAAUUCACUGGAGGCUCGAACCGGGUGCGGUUUAAAACGCAUCGGAUGAACUGUGGAUAGGGGCGAAAAACCAAACGAACCCGGAGAUAGCUGGUUCUCCUCGAAAUAGCUUUAGGGCUAGCCUAUGACCAAAGAUUUAAGGAGGUAGAGCACUGACUGGCCUAGGGCGGCUAACCGUACCAAAGCCUAUCAAACUCCGAAUGCCAAAAAAUCAAGUCAUGGAGUCAGACUUAGAGGGAUAAGCUCCUAAGUCGAAAGGGAAACAGCCCAGACCGACAGCUAAGGUCCCAAAAUCUGAAUUAAGUGGAAAAGGAUGUGAACCUACUAAGACAACCAGGACGUUGGCUUAGAAGCAGCCAUACAUUUAAAGAAUGCGUAAUAGCUCACUGGUCAAGUGGGUUUGCGCCGAAAAUAAACGGGGCUAAAAUUCAGUACCGAAGCUUCGGAUUGAUAGAGAAUUUAAA
rnacentral:rRNA from 1 species